GAUUGCCUCUAGAGCCUAUUUAAAAAAUUGGUGUCACAUUAGCUAUCCUUCAGUCAUCUGGUACAGAAGCUGAUUUAAAUUGUAGGUUACAUACCAGAGUUAGUAGUUCUGCAUUUUCACAUUUGAGUUCCUUUAGAACUCGUGGGUGAAUAGCAUCUGGUCCUCAUGACUUCUUGCUGUUUAGUGAUCCCUGACUGGAG